GCCCCUUUAAGAGUGAUGCGGUAUCCCCCCCGCCCCCACGCUUCGCCGACACACGGGAGGAAGAGCAGCGAAAUAUGGCGGCUAAGGAGGCGGGGGAAAUUGGCCUUGCCUUUUUGCGCAUGCGGCCUUCGCUCUAUGGAAAGAAACAACAACCCCAAAACAUAAGAGUUUCCAGUCAGGGGACUCACACAUAAUGUCUAGUCUGGCCAUGAGAAUGUGACUUGUGAAUGGGAUACGACAGCAUUGGCAUAGUCCCAAGAAAAGAAAGAAAGAAAGAAAGAAAGAAAGAAAGAAAGAAAGAAAGAAAGAAAGAAAGAAAGGAAACCACACACACACACACACACACUCCCUGAAGCAAGUCAGAUUAGGUAAAAUGCACAUAAAGGAUGAUAUUGAAGGAAACCAUGAUGAUUAUUCUGAACACUGCUGAAUGACAUUGUAAUAAGCCAUUACUGAAUGACAAGAUGAAGUACCCGCUUGAAUUUGUUCUUUCCUUACCCACUGGCCACUAGGGAGCAAGUGAUGGGUGUGUCACAAUCUUCUUGGUGGAUGGGGGAGGGGAAGAAGAAAGGAUAAGAGAUGCACAUUAUGAUGUGUCAGAAUCUGAUUGGAUGCCAAUGCUACCUCACAACCUGGGGCACUUAGUCAAGCCAGACCAUCAGUGAAGUGAAGAGCAGAUCCUUCAUUUGAACAUCACUCACUUUAUGAAAGCAAAGCUUAGAGCAACUGUGGCAUUCUUAGGUGGAAAGUAGAGAGCAGACUUGGAGACAGUUAUAGGAAUGGCUGCUGCUCAUAGAAUGAGGAGGAGGUCUCAACUUCCCAGGAGAAGGAAACACACCACACGCAGGACAGCUCUGCAUAGGAAGCAGCACCUGCCAAAGCAGAGGAAGCAGUGCCUAAAACUAGGGAAGCAGAAGCAGAAGGCGGUGAGCAAAGAGCCUGUUCUUCUAAAGCCGGAUCUGAAGCGCCCUUAUGAUGAGCUUGUGGUUAAAGUCCUCCAGAAACUGCACCGGGACAAGGUGCCCAUUUCAACCAAGGCCAAGGGCAAGCUGAUCUCCUUCAUCAGGAGGUUCUACAACAAUGUGUCCAAGAAAGCUAAGUGCAGCAGGAGAGGCAAGAAGAACAGCUGCACCAUCGGCACCAAGGAACUCCAAAAGGUACUGAAGCGGGUGAUGCGCAAGAAGCAAGCAAUGGAAUUGGUCAAAAACAUCAGCAAACCACGCCACCAUUAGAACACCAUCCUUCCUGCUCUCGUUGGGUUGGUGUAAGUGAGAUCUAGGGAAGGGAAGGGAAGAAUGUGCCAGCCUUCAAAAAAUUAAAAAUAAAUAAAUAAAAGGAAAAAAGGAAAAACAAAUAUCCAGCUUCCACCUGAUGCUGCCUUCAAGAUGUCAAGAAACUCUUCACUAUUUGAACAUCUCAAAUAAGCCCAGCAAACCAAUAACUCACAAUUCUCAAUGAACUAAAACGAUCUGAGCUGCAGAAGAAGGAAAGAUCUUGGGAGAAGAACAUCACCCAAUGCUUAUGCCUAUAAUAAAAUGGGAUCUUAACAGGUUCCUUAGCUUUGA